GAUGAAGAACGUAUCGAAAUGCGAUAAGUAAUGUGAAUUGCAGAAUUCAGUGAACCAUCGAAUCUUUGAACGCACAUUGCGCCCGGCAGUAAUCUGCCGGGCAUGCCUGUCCGAGCGUCAUUUCUCCCCUCGAGCGCAGCUUUCCCCCCCGGGGGAGGGCCGCGCCCGGUGUUGGGGCGCUACGGAGGAGCCCAGCGCUCCCCCGUAGGCCCCGAAAUGUAGUGGCGGUCCCGCCGCGGCGCCCCCUGCGUAGUAGUUUUACAACUCGCAUCGGGUCCCGGCGGAGGCCAGCCGUCAAACCCCCCAACUUCAAUAGUUUGACCUCGGAUCAGGUAGGGUUACCCGCUGAACUUAAGCAUAUCAAUAAGCGGAGGA
rnacentral:misc_RNA from 1 species